rnacentral:misc_RNA from 1 species
CAAGAAGAGACCCUAACCGGUCCUCUCAACCCUGCCCAUCGUACCUUUUUUGUUGUUCCCUCGGCGGUGCUCGCGGGCCCGCCGGCGGGAAGACCAAACAAACCCUUUGCAAACAAGCAUAUCGAAUCUCUGGUCAAACAUGAAUUGUCA